rnacentral:lncRNA from 1 species
AACGUAAAACCGACUAAAUUGAUCAUGCCGACUUAAUCCACUGCCGACGAUUUAACUCAGGAUUCAACCAACGAUAUAAGACUAAGUCACGUUUGGACCAACUAAGUUCGACAUGCUGUCAAUAUCUAGCUGAACACUUACUCGGAUCUUUCCCGACUAUCUCGAUCCCGAGGUUAUAGGCGCUAAAUGAUAGUUACCCAACAUAGGUGUUAAUCCCCCAU